rnacentral:rRNA from 1 species
GGAUCAUUACAGAGAAUAUCGCCCUCGCGGGUGACUCUCCAACCCAAUGCUAUUCUACCUUUGUUGCUUUGGCGAGCCGCCUUGGCCACCGGCUCACGCUGGUGAGCGCUUGCCAGAGGACCCAAAACUCUGAAUUAAAGUAUUGUCUGAGUACUAUAUAAUAGUUAAAACUUUCAACAACGGAUCUCUUGGUUCUGGCAUCGAUGAAGAACGCAGCGAAAUGCGAUAAGUAAUGUGAAUUGCAGAAUUCAGUGAAUCAUCGAAUCUUUGAACGCACAUUGCGCCCUGUGGUAUUCCGCAGGGCAUGCCUGUUCGAGCGUCAGUACAACACUCAAGCUCAGCUUGGUCUUGAGCCUAGCCGGUCACGGCGGGCUUUAAAAUUAGUGGCGGUGCCACCUGGCUCUAAGCGUAGUAAUACUCCUCGCUAUUGAGUUCUGGUGGACGCUGGCCAGCAACCCCCAACUUUCUAAGUUUGACCUC